rnacentral:rRNA from 1 species
CCCUUAGAUGUCCGGGGCCGCACGCGCGCUACACUGAAGGAAUCAGCGUGGCUUUCUCCCUGACCCGAAAGGGUUGGGAAACCCGUUGAAUCUCCUUCGUGAUAGGGAUUGGGGCUUGAAAUUGUUCCCCAUGAACGAGGAAUUCCCAGUAAGCGCGAGUCAUAAGCUCGCGUUGAUUACGUCCCUGCCCUUUGUACACACCGCCCGUCGCUACUACCGAUUGAACGGUUUAGUGAGGGCCUCGGAUUGGUCUCGGCCCGCUCUUUACCGGGCGGCGCCGUUGGUCUAGAAGACGCUCGAACUUGAUCGUUUAGAGGAAGUAAAAGUCGUAACA